rnacentral:tRNA from 26 species
CGCGGGGUGGAGCAGUCUGGUAGCUCGUCGGGCUCAUAACCCGAAGGUCGCAGGUUCAAAUCCUGCCCCCGCAACCA